GCCGUAGCUUAAUUGGGAGAGAAUUUGUUUUGCAUGUAAGAUGGUCCCAUGUUCAAUCCCUGGGAUCUCCA